AUGACCACGCGACAAUCCAGCAACGGUGGCCGUGUUUACACAGUAUAGGAAAAAGCACCGGUCUCUCUGGUUGCUGUGAGCGAUUCCAUUAUGGUAGCGUUCACUAGUAUGUAUAAGGCCUCAUGCACACGACCGUUGUACGGAUCAGUC